rnacentral:tRNA from 1 species
GGAUUGUGGCUCAGUGGUAGAGUGCUUACCUGACAUGCGUGAGACACUGGUUUCGAUUCUCAGCACCA